rnacentral:sRNA from 1 species
UGAAGAUGGAUUCUUUUUUACUGUAAAACAAUUUUCACUACUUGAUCAGGGGAAUCAGGGAAGGCAAAGUGUAUAUCAACUGGAACAGGUUCUGUUUCCAUUGGGUAAGAUGUCGUGAUGAUUUAUGGGUGCUUGAAGGCUCUUAUAAAAGGGAAGAGGAGAUCUCGGAGCUGGUUUAGAACACUGAUUUUU